CAGAGCUAAGACGCCAUCUCCAGCCCUUCGAGUGAAGAGCUGGAUGAAGAUAUAGUCUAGUACUGAAAAGUAUUGAACAGGCUAGUUCCGCCUAAGAGUCCAUAUCGACGGCGGAGUUCGGCACCUCGAUGUCGGCUCAACUUAUCCUGGGGGUGGAGAAGCUCCCAAGGGUUUGGCUGUUCGCCAAUUAAAAAGUUACGUGAGCUGGGUUCAGACCGUUCAGGACGUAUAUCGUGUAGCACGUAGCGUGGAGCGCAAGAAUCUUUUUGCGUUUCGCGUUACAGGUUAUACGUUUUGCGCUUUGGACAGUCUGAAUCCGAGGUAAUAAACGACAUCAUUGCGGCGGUCUCAAGAAGUAAUUCUUGAGUGCUAUUAAGUUGACUAAAAUCGGUGGAAUCCUAACGCAAUCAAUGCGUGGACAAUACCGAGGGAAGUUUGAUUAAGUAUUUUAGUUGGUAUAGUGUGUUGAAAUGGGUAUAGAAUCCAUACCAAAAGAAAAUUCAGAUUGGGACCAACUUCAGGAAGAAUGGAGUCGGGCGGUUGACGCAUUGGGUUCUGACAAUCUGAAUCUUCUUCAACUAACUAAUAGAGCUGACAAUAAAUAAGGCAUAGAAGUAGCAGAAAAAUAUCUUAAGGAUAAUUUCGAAACAUUAUCCCAAGAGCAAAGAAAUUUUCUGCUCUUAAGUCUUAGAAUAAAGAACAAAGCUCUUCAAUCUCAAUCAAAACACUCCGUAGAGACUACACGUUGACCGGCUUGUAUUUCUGAAAGCUCUAAGCGCCAAGCUUAAAGCCCUAAGCUAUCCAAGUUGAUGAUAUAGUCCAAUGCACACCGUAAGGUGUGGCAAAUCUUGUGCAUAUUGGUAGAAGGAGGUGCACAAGAAUAACAUGCGCGAGACAGGUUGGUCUCCUAUCUACUGCAGGCGUUGAUUCUUGAGGGGAGUCUUCAUUAGUACGAGAGGACCGUGAAGACCCGACCUCUGGUGUAUCGGUUGUUCCUGCCAAGGGCAUUGCCGAGUAGCUAUGUCGGGAACGGAUAAGCUCUGAAAGCAUCUAAGAGCGAAGCCGUCCCCAAGAUGAGGAAUCGUUGAGACUCGUGGAAGAUGACCACGUUGAUAGGCUCUAGGUGUAAGCCCAGUAAUGGGUGUAGCCGAGGAGUACUAAUUCGUCGA
rnacentral:ncRNA from 1 species